GCCUGCGCGAGCGCAUGCGCACACUCACGCACGCGCCGGCUUCAGCCAGAGAGCUGGCGCCUGCGGCUCGAGUUUACGCGCGUUGGUCACGUGUCGGUCGCCGUCCACGUUUGAGGCGUUUGCGCCCAGGUCGGCGCGACUACAGUUUGAGAGGCGCUGGCAGGAGGCGCGUUGUUUGUGAGCGCUGCUCAGGCUCGGGGUGUCCGUGUGGGUGCUGGAGGGCUGCGAGGAGACGGUUGUGAUCGGGGAGGGUGGGUGACGCUGGGAUAGGGUGCCGCCGACCCCCACACCCCGUGGGGCCAGUGCCCUGCCCGGUGGUCCGCCGGGAGCCUGGUGCGGAGCAGGGAGGGCGGCCUCGGUCGAGGAUGACGGACGUGUUCGCCUUUCACCCCGGUUUGUGUUUGUUUUCCGCGGUGGGUGCCCUAGAGCGGAGUAACUGGCCUCACGCGUGCAGGGAGUUCCGACAGUAAAUGCCGCUGUGAUGCUGAUCGUGAUAUCAGUUUCCCUACAUUACACCCAGCGUAUAUGGGGUUAAAACCAAAACACUCCUUCCCUGUUUACUCCCUGGCUUCCUUGCUCCAGAAUCCGCUGUCCUCCAUGGAGACAGACACCGCCAAGGCCAAGCACCUGGAUUCGCUAUCUCCUCCCUGCAAGGAGAUCCAGGCUGGUGGGAAAGCUGCUGACCAGCAAGGCCAUAGGCUCCCCCUCCCCUACCUAAAACCCCAAAUAAAACCCUUUUAACUUUUCUGGGAGUUUAGGAUUUCAGCGCUGGCUGCCCUCUCUCCUUGCUCAGCGCUGUGCAAUAAUAAAAUUCCUACUUUCUUCCACUACACCAAGUGUUAGAGAUGAGCUUGCUGCUGAGUGAGCGAACUGUAGGUUCCAUAUCAGUUUGGUGACCCAGAUGGGACAACGUCCCAGGUGGAUGUCUUGCCUGUGGCACACCGGCCUCUGGCUGAAGGCCUCUCUUGGAAGCUGUCUUGCAGCUGUCUUGCAGCUGCCUGAGCCCUUUGUCUCAGGGAAAGCCCCAAGCGACUGGCUGCUGACCAGACGCCGCCGUUGGCCCACGGCGCUUUUGCUUUGGUGGUGGAAGAAACUAGGUUCAGGGCUUGGGAAGGCGUCUCUUCUAAGUAGCUGGUAGUUUUUGUUUUUGUCUUUGUGUUAACUUUUUCCAACAGGCCCGGCCAGAAAUAAUGGGUACCUGGCAGCCUUUUGGGCUCCAUUUGUUUUGAAGUCAAGACGCCCCAGCCAGAUUAUGCCUUGCAAGCUGAAGCUGGAGGACCUAAUAUAAACUUAAGAGAGAUUCAUGUCUACUGCUGUGUAAGCCACUCAAAAAGCUACCUGAGUGCCCAAUGACACCAUCAGAGACAUUUCAAACUGCAAAAGAUGCAUUGACCCUGACUUCUAGGAAUCUUGAUUGGCUGCCCAUUGUGCUUAAGAACUAGUUUAUAAUUUUCUCAAACCGUUAACCUUGUUUUUCUCUUUGUGUUCCUCUAGAAAAACUUCUUAUUAAAUACCUGGUUACUUGCUUACGUGAUACAGGCCUAACUUUGGGGGCCCACCUACAUCACCAACUUAUUAAAAGACUGGUUCAAUGAGAUGGAACAACCUAGGCCCUAAUUCAACGGGAAGUAGCUACAUCUGGCACUGCCCCAAAUCUCUCAAGAUUGAGGGAUGGACAUAAAAUAGGGGGGCAUUGAUACUGACCCUGAUAUCAGUUUCCCUACAUUACCCCCAGCAUAUAUUGGGUUAAAACCAAAACAGUCUUUCUCUGCUUACUCCCUGGCUUCCUGGCUUCAGAAUCCGCUAUCCUCCGUGGAGACAGACACAGCCAAGGACAAGCACCUGGAUUCACUCUCUCCUGCCAGCAAGGAGAUAGAGCCUGGUGGGAAAGCUGCUGACCAGCAAGGUCACAGGCUCCCUCCUCUCUGCAAAUAGUCUAAAGGCCAAAGACAGGCUGGUGGGAAAGCUCCGACCAGCAAGGCCGUGUGCUCCCCCUCCCCUACCUAAAACCUCAAAUAAAAACCCUUCCUUUUAGCUUUCCGGGGAGUUCGAGAUUUCAGUGUUCGCUGCCCUCUCUUCUUGCUCAGUGCUGUGCAAUAAUAAAAUUCCUACUUUCUUCCACUAA